rnacentral:rRNA from 1 species
UAGAGUUUGAUCCUGGCUCAGAUUGAACGCUGGCGGCAGGCCUAACACAUGCAAGUCGAGCGGAUGAAGGGAGCUUGCUCCUGGAUUCAGCGGCGGACGGGUGAGUAAUGCCUAGGAAUCUGCCUGGUAGUGGGGGAUAACGUCCGGAAACGGGCGCUAAUACCGCAUACGUCCUGAGGGAGAAAGUGGGGGAUCUUCGGACCUCACGCUAUCAGAUGAGCCUAGGUCGGAUUAGCCAGUUGGUGGGGUAAAGGCCUACCAAGGCGACGAUCCGUAACUGGUCUGAGAGGAUGAUCAGUCACACUGGAACUGAGACACGGUCCAGACUCCUACGGGAGGCAGCAGUGGGGAAUAUUGGACAAUGGGCGAAAACCUGAUCCAGCCAUGCCGCGUGUGUGAAGAAGGUCUUCGGAUUGUAAAGCACUUUAAGUUGGGAGGAAGGGCAGUAAGUUAAUACCUUGCUGUUUUGACGUUACCAACAGAAUAAGCACCGGCUAACUUCGUGCCAGCAGCCGCGGUAAUACGAAGGGUGCAAGCGUUAAUCGGAAUUACUGGGCGUAAAGCGCGCGUAGGUGGUUCAGCAAGUUGGAUGUGAAAUCCCCGGGCUCAACCUGGGAACUGCAUCCAAAACUACUGAGCUAGAGUACGGUAGAGGGUGGUGGAAUUUCCUGUGUAGCGGUGAAAUGCGUAGAUAUAGGAAGGAACACCAGUGGCGAAGGCGACCACCUGGACUGAUACUGACACUGAGGUGCGAAAGCGUGGGGAGCAAACAGGGAUUAGAUACCCUGGUAGUCCACGCCGUAAACGAUGUCGACUAGCCGUUGGGAUCCUUGAGAUCUUAGUGGCGCAGCUAACGCGAUAAGUCGACCCGCCCUGGGGGAGUACGGCCGCAAGGUUAAAACUCAAAUGAAUUGACGGGGGCCCGCACAAGCGGUGGAGCAUGUGGUUUAAUUCGAAGCAACGCGAAGAACCUUACCUGGCCUUGACAUGCUGAGAACUUUCCAGAGAUGGAUUGGUGCCUUCGGGAACUCAGACACAGGUGCUGCAUGGCUGUCGUCAGCUCGUGUCGUGAGAUGUUGGGUUAAGUCCCGUAACGAGCGCAACCCUUGUCCUUAGUUACCAGCACCUCGGGUGGGCACUCUAAGGAGACUGCCGGUGACAAACCGGAGGAAGGUGGGGAUGACGUCAAGUCAUCAUGGCCCUUACGGCCAGGGCUACACACGUGCUACAAUGGUCGGUACAAAGGGUUGCCAAGCCGCGAGGUGGAGCUAAUCCCAUAAAACCGAUCGUAGUCCGGAUCGCAGUCUGCAACUCGACUGCGUGAAGUCGGAAUCGCUAGUAAUCGUGAAUCAGAAUGUCACGGUGAAUACGUUCCCGGGCCUUGUACACACCGCCCGUCGCACCAUGGGAGUGGGUUGCUCCAGAAGUAGCUAGUCUAACCGCAAGGGGGACGGUUACCACGGAGUGAUUCAUGACUGGGGUGAAGUCGUAACAAGGUAACCG